rnacentral:rRNA from 1 species
UACGAAGGGGGCUAGCGUUGUUCGGAAUUACUGGGCGUAAAGCGCACGUAGGCGGAUCGAUCAGUCAGGGGUGAAAUCCCAGGGCUCAACCCUGGAACUGCCUUUGAUACUGUCGAUCUGGAGUAUGGAAGAGGUGAGUGGAAUUCCGAGUGUAGAGGUGAAAUUCGUAGAUAUUCGGAGGAACACCAGUGGCGAAGGCGGCUCACUGGUCCAUUACUGACGCUGAUGCACGAAAGCGUGGGGAUCGAACAGG